rnacentral:rRNA from 1 species
UACGGAGGGAGCUAGCGUUGUUCGGAAUUACUGGGCGCAAAGCGCACGUAGGCGGCUUUGUAAGUUAGAGGUGAUAGCCUGGAGCUCAACUCCAGAAUUGCCUUUAAGACUGCAUCGCUUGAAUCCAGGAGAGGUGAGUGGAAUUCCGAGUGUAGAGGUGAAAUUCGUAGAUAUUCGGAAGAACACCAGUGGCGAAGGCGUCAUACACUGGACUGUAUUGACGCUGAGGUGCGAAAGC